rnacentral:rRNA from 1 species
GCUAUGGGCAGGUUGAAGGGUGGGUAACACUAACUGGAGGACCGAACCGACUAAUGUUGAAAAAUUAGCGGAUGACUUGUGGCUGGGGGUGAAAGGCCAAUCAAACCGGGAGAUAGCUGGUUCUCCCCGAAAGCUAUUUAGGUAGCGCCUCGUGAAUUCAUCUCCGGGGGUAGAGCACUGUUUCGGCAAGGGGGUCAUCCCGACUUACCAACCCGAUGCAAACUGCGAAUACCGGAGAAUGUUAUCACGGGAGACACACGGCGGGUGCUAACGUCCGUCGUGAAGAGGGAAACAACCCAGACCGCCAGCUAAGGUCCCAAAGUCAUGGUUAAGUGGGAAACGAUGUGGGAAGGCCCAGACAGCCAGGAUGUUGGCUUAGAAGCAGCCAUCAUUUAAAGAAAGCGUAAUAGCUCACUGGUCGAGUCGGCCUGCGCGGAAGAUGUAACGGGGCUAAACCAUGCACCGAAGCUGCGGCAGCGACGCUUAUGCGUUGUUGGGUAGGGGAGCGUUCUGUAAGCCUGUGAAGGUGUGCUGUGAGGCAUGCUGGAGGUAUCAGAAGUGCGAAUGCUGACAUAAGUAACGAUAAAGCGGGUGAAAAGCCCGCUCGCCGGAAGACCAAGGGUUCCUGUCCAACGUUAAUCGGGGCAGGGUGAGUCGACCCCUAAGGCGAGGCCGAAAGGCGUAGUCGAUGGGAAACAGGUUAAUAUUCCUGUACUUGGUGUUACUGCGAAGGGGGGACGGAGAAGGCUAUGUUGGCCGGGCGACGGUUGUCCCGGUUUAAGCGUGUAGGCUGGUUUUCCAGGCAAAUCCGGAAAAUCAAGGCUGAGGCGUGAUGACGAGGCACUACGGUGCUGAAGCAACAAAUGCCCUGCUUCCAGGAAAAGCCUCUAAGCAUCAGGUAACAUCAAAUCGUACCCCAAACCGACACAGGUGGUCAGGUAGAGAAUACCAAGGCGCUUGAGAGAACUCGGGUGAAGGAACUAGGCAAAAUGGUGCCGUAACUUCGGGAGAAGGCACGCUGAUAUGUAGGUGAAGUCCCUUGCGGAUGGAGCUGAAAUCAGUCGAAGAUACCAGCUGGCUGCAACUGUUUAUUAAAAACACAGCACUGUGCAAACACGAAAGUGGACGUAUACGGUGUGACGCCUGCCCGGUGCCGGAAGGUUAAUUGAUGGGUUUGGCGCAAGCGAAGGUCUUGAUCGAAGCCCCGGUAAACGGCGGCCGUAACUAU